GAUGAACGCUGGCGGUGUGCCUAAUACAUGCAAGUCGAGCGAACAGACGAGGAGCUUGCUCCUUCGACAUUAGCGGCGGACGGGAGAGUAACAUGUAGGCAACCUACCUAUAAGACUGGGAUAACUUCGGGAAACCGGCGCUAACACCGGACAAUAUUUCGAACCGCACGGUUCGAUAGUGAAAGAUGGCUUUGCUAUCACUUAUAGAUGGACCUGCGCCGUAUUAGUUAGUUGGUAAGGUAACGGCUUACUAAGGCAACGAUACGUAGCUGACCGGAGAUGGUGAUCAGCCGCACUGGAACUGAGACACGGUCCAGACUCCUACGGGAGGCACCAGUAGGGAAUCUUCCGCAAUGGGCGAAAGCCUGACGGAGCAACGCCGCGUGAGUGAUGAGGGUCUUCGGAUCGUAGAACUCUGUUAUUAGGGAAGAACAAACGUGUAAGUAACUGUGCACGUCUUGACGAUACCUAAUCAGAAAGCCACGGCUAACUACGUG
rnacentral:rRNA from 1 species